rnacentral:rRNA from 1 species
GACGAACGCUGGCGGCGUGCUUAACACAUGCAAGUCGAACGGAAAGGCCCUGCUUUUGUGGGGUGCGCGAGUGGCGAACGGGUGAGUAACACGUGAGUAACCUGCCCUUGACUUUGGGAUAACUUCAGGAAACUGGGGCUAAUACCGGAUAGGAGCUCCUGCUGCAUGGUGGGGGUUGGAAAGUUUCGGCGGUUGGGGAUGGACUCGCGGCUUAUCAGCUUGUUGGUGGGGUAGUGGCUUACCAAGGCUUUGACGGGUAGCCGGCCUGAGAGGGUGACCGGACACAUUGGGAUUGAGAUACGGCCCAGACUCCUACGGGAGGCAGCAGUGGGGAAUAUUGCACAAUGGGAGGAAGCCUGAUGCAGCAACGCCGCGUGCGGGAUGACGGCCUUCGGGUUGUAAACCGCUUUCGCCUGUGACGAAGCGUGAGUGACGGUAAUGGGUAAAGAAGCACCGGCUAACUCCGUG